rnacentral:rRNA from 1 species
GUUGGCGGCGAUAGCACAUUAAAUGCACCAGUUCCCGUUGGAUCACUAAAGUUCAGCAACGUUGCGCGUGGUUGGUACCUGAAUGGGUGACCAUUUGUUCAAAGCUCGAGAUCCAUCC